rnacentral:lncRNA from 1 species
AUUUAUCGGAAGGCCAAGUAUCCCUCAAGUAUUAAUUCUUGUUUGUUUUUAGGUAAACAAGACUUGUUUCUGGUUAGUGCAUGGAGUCUUUAACUGUGGCAGUGGCAUAUACCUCUUCUGUGCUUCAAAUACGCACCAAGUCAUCUCUCCUGCUUUGCUUUUCCUUCCUUUGACUGUCUCUGCUGCUCUGAGCCCUGCUUUGUUGAAUGAAGUCACAGACCUGUAUGUGGGGGACGUACAAUGUCUUCUCCAGAGUGGCAGAAGGUCUCCUGACCUGGAGCAGAAGCUGAGAAAUAUGUGGCUGCAAAAGGAAUAUCCUCAGGCAAGCACUAAGCCCUACGUGCUGGGAUGUGAGUGA